GGCUAUGCCUGAGGAUGCACCUCAAGCCAAUAUCGAGGUGGGCUCCUCAUCCCAUUCUAAACCUUUUGGGUCUCGACACUCGGAGACCCUAAGCUUUGAAAGUUUUUUUGUACUAAGAAAUAAGGAGUCUAACAUUACCGAGCUCGACCUAGAAAGGUUUCAGGCUCAAUUCUAUAUUCUAAGUCAGUAUUGAAGGAACCAGAUCUAGGGUUUCAUGGUUAGAUCUUAAAA
rnacentral:lncRNA from 1 species